AACGACUCUCGGCAACGGAUAUCUCGGCUCUUGCAUCGAUGAAGAACGUAGCGAAAUGCGAUACUUGGUGUGAAUUGCAGAAUCCCGCGAACCAUCAAUUCUUUGAACGCAAGUUGCGCCCGAAGCCAUUCGGCCGAGGGCACGCCUGCCUGGGUGUCG
rnacentral:rRNA from 6 species